CACUCCUGCGGGAGGCAGCAGUGGGGAAUUUUGGACAAUGGGCGAAAGCCUGAUCCAGCAAUGCCGCGUGCAGGAUGAAGGCCUUCGGGUUGUAAACUGCUUUUGUACGGAACGAAAAAGCUCCUUCUAAUACAGGGGGCCCAUGACGGUACCGUAAGAAUAAGCACCGGCUAACUACGUGCCAGCAGCCGCGGUAAUACGUAGGGUGCGAGCGUUAAUCGGAAUUACUGGGCGUAAAGCGUGCGCAGGCGGUUAUGUAAGACAGAUGUGAAAUCCCCGGGCUCAACCUGGGAACUGCAUUUGUGACUGAAUGGCUAGAGUACGGUAGAGGGAGAUGGAAUUCCGCGUGUAGCAGUGAAAUGCGUAGAUAUGCGGAGGAACACCGAUGGCGAAGGCAAUCCCCUGGACCUGUACUGACGCUCAUGCACGAAAGCGUGGGGAUCAAACAGGAUUAGAAACCCUAGUAGUCCCAUGA
rnacentral:rRNA from 1 species